AGUGGCGAACGGGUGAGGAACACGUAAGAAUCUGCCCCUCGGUCGGGGACAACUCUUGGAAACGAGAGCUAAUACCCGAUACGCUGUGGAGUGAAAGAAUUUCGCCGAGGGAUGAUCUUGCGUCUGAUUAGCUAGUUGGUAUGGUAAUGGCAUACCAAGGCGACGAUCAGUAGCUGGUCUGAGAGGAUGAACAGCCACAUUGGAACUGAGACACGGUCCGAACUCCUACGGGAGGCAGCAGUGGGGAAUUUUCCGCAAUGGACGAAAGUCUGACGGAGCGACGCUGCGUGAAGGAUGACGGCCUGCGGGUUGUAAACUUCUUUUCUCGAAGAAGAAGCUCUGACGGUAUUCGAGGAAUAAGCAUCGGCUAACUCCGUGCCAGCAGCCGCGGUAAUACGGAGGAUGCAAGUGUUAUUCGGAAUGAUUGGGCGUAAAGCGUCUGUAGGCUGUAUAGAAAGUCUUUUGUUAAAUGCCUCGGCUCAACCAAGAUCCAGCAAAGGAAACUUCUAUACUUGAGGGAAGUAGAGGUACAGGGAAUUCCCGGUGGAGCGGUGAAAUGCGUAGAUAUCGGGAGGAACACCAAUAUGGCGAAGGCACUGUACUGGGCUUUACCUGACGCUCAGAGACGAAAGCUAAAGGAGUGAUUAGGAUUAGAUACCCUAGUAAUUUUAGCCGUAAACGAUGGAAACUCACUGCCGAGCGAAAUACAACGAGCGGUGGUCAAGCUAACGCGUGAAGUUUCCCGCCUGGGGAUUAC
rnacentral:rRNA from 1 species